UGCAUGUCUUAGAACGAGGGAUCUCUCCGAAUCUGCGAAAGGCUCCGUAUAUCUGUUCUGACCCGCCGUCCACCACCGAGGUAGCGGAUACCCCCGGUAAUUCUGAGGUUAAUACGUGCAAUCGGGCGCCCUGUGAGCAACGGGGCGCCCCCAGGCUUGGACCACGCAGCGCCGGGGCGGUGUUCAUCGCCAGCAUUGAGCUGGGGCAGCCCGGGGAGGGCGGGGGGCGCCUUGAGCGCCCACCGCCGCCCCGCGGCCCCCCCGGGCAAAGACGUGAGGGAGUCCAAGUUCCUGGACCGCCUCCCAGCGAGGCGGCCGGACGGCGGGGGCCAGACCUAUCAACUAGACGGCCAGGGAUAGCCUGGCCGUGGUGAUAACGGGUACAGAGGAUCAGGGUUCGAUCCUGGAGAGGUAGCCUGAGAGAUCGCUACUACUUCUAAGGAAGGCAGCAGGCGCGCAACGUUCCCAAUGGGGAUACCCUGAGGACGUCAGGGGACAUAUCAAUGCCCGGCCUUUAAAGCCGGGCAAUUGACAUGGGGGAUAGCCAAACCUCCCACCGAGUAACAAU
rnacentral:rRNA from 1 species